rnacentral:misc_RNA from 1 species
ACAUCGCGUCGCCACACCUCGACUCUCCUCCGCUCUCCCAUCUGACCCCCCUCCUGCCUACCGCCCCCUCUCUCCUCGUCCGCUGUGCUGCGUCGUCUGCCUUCCACCCCUUCCGUGGCCUCUCCCGUCUUCCUCGGCGCCGCCCUUCGCACUCUCUCGCUCUUGUGUGUUUUCGCCCAUGACGCCGAGUAUACCAGUCAUUGUCUACGUGGUCCUGCAGUUCGUGGCGUUCUUCUUCGUGCUGGUGGGAACGCCGAUUGACAUGUUCCGCAGCAGCAACAGCAGUGUUUUCGUUGGCCAGUGCAUCACUCUAUGGGGUUUUAAACGUGACUGUCUCUCUUUGAACUACGUUCGCACAACCGAUAUGUCUUUUGAAAAGUGCCCAUCACGCAUCACCCGAUUCCGCCUUGCGCAGGGAUGCGCCAUCAUCUCCAUCCUAGUGUACGGCGGAGCGUUCAUGCUGGGCUUUAUUUUGCUGUUCUGCUGCUCUUUGCUCCGGUGGGUCUGCCUGGUACUCAACGUGGUCGGCAUGGUCACCUCGUGCAUUGUGUGGGCGGCCAUGGCAGUGACAUACAACAAGACUGACGACAGAGUGUGCCUGCCGGUAAAAACACUGGGAAGAUAUGGUGCCGGCUUCGUGCUCUUUGUGCUGGCCUGGAUACUGGAUGUCAUCAACAUCAUCCUGUUGCUCCUUCCCUAUGACGGCGUGGACGCUGGAGCGAAUCGAAAGGCAGAGCUGCCGACCGCGCAGGAGUAGAAUGGAGGCACCAAGAGGCAACGGGGGGGG